UCGAAAACAAGAUCGUUGCCGUCGUUGAAGCCGACAAUUGACUACUACACAAACCAGGAGGUUUUGGGACCACUCGAAGACGAUCGUGAGCUUAUUUAACCGAUACAACGGAGCUGCUCAAAUACGUUCGGAGACAGAUGGUUGAGGAAGCGUACAAAUCAGAUAAAGCAAGCGAGUCUUUGUUGCUGGAGAGCUGCUCCUGACUGCCGCGACGGUUUGUGCGCCUUUCGGUGUUGUGACUUCAUGAAAAUGGGUGCAAAAAACCGAUCCUCUUGCUAUUCUCAUGUAACAACCCCUAGGGCUUCCGAAAAGGGUAGGCCGAAGAACCUAUACUGGCACGUAUGUUGCUCGCACGGGCUGAAGGUAAACGGUCGCUGUUUUACGGUUGGCAGCCCUGCAAUCGAUUGUGAGCAGUGACUCUGAGACACCAUACGUUAGGAACCUCACCUUGGCCUGUUCGAAAAUUGCGGUUCUUCUCUCGAACGGAAAAAGAUCGCCAGAUACUCAAAACAGCCAUGUGCACCCUUCAAUAUAAUACUUGUUUGUACAAUACUACAUACAAGACCGAUAGGCACCACUUAGAGGCUAAAAAAAAAAGAUAGUUUUCAAGUCUGCAUUUAUCCAAUUCGACAAUGAAAGUAGUAGUAGUAGCUGCGCUAAUAUACUGUUGGAGCACAGAUCUACCCCACUACACCUGCCCCUAUAGCAUAGUGGAUUGUGCGUUGGAGUUCUAAUCCAGGGGCCGCGGGUGCGAUCCUCACCAGGAGUAUUUCUUUAGAAACAUAGCCAAUAACUUAGUCAAAAUCCCUUCCAGUCGUUAAAUGAUGAACGAAACAAUAAAGCCAAGUAUAUCAACAAAUCCCAUACAUUCCGAGAAGCUUAGUAUUCAAUGCAUUUAUUAAACUAAGGGCCUUAUACUGCCUCAUUAGCCUUUAUCAUAUAUGUUCCGUGAAAAAUAACUUACUAUAAUGAAGCUACUAUUUAAAUUUCUAGUUUGACUGCUUGGCGUAGGAGAAGUUAGAAACUACAUUUCGGCGUGUAAAAAUUUAAUAAGUCGUUUAGUUAUCUUAUGGAAGAAUUCUGUGAAUCUAAAGCUGGCCUAGACCUUACUGUCGAAA